GAAAGGUGAAUCCAGCUUCUCUCAAAAAGUUUGGGGAGACAGCUGAGAAGUGCCUUGCUGAGCAUGGAGUUGAUAGGCCAUCGAUGGGGGAUGUCUUAUGGAAUCUUGAAUAUGCUCUGCAGCUUGAGGAAACCUCAUCUGCACUGAUGGAACCUGAAGAUAAUAGCACAAACCAUAUUCCAGGCAUUCCGUUGACACCACUCGAACCAUUUGAUAACAGUAUAAGCAUAAUUGACGGGGGGCACUCUGGAACAGAUGAUGAUGCUGAAGAUGCUGCAACAAGCGCUGUAUUUUCCCAGCUAGUAAAUCCUCGUGGAAGGUGAAAAGUAAAAACUCCCACCAUUUGUGGUCAAUAGAAAUUCUAGUGACCGUUUGGCCAUCCGGUCCUGGUGUAGAGAGUUCUCAGAAAAUGCCAAGGGAAUAAACUAAGGUCAUGUCGUAUU
rnacentral:misc_RNA from 1 species